rnacentral:rRNA from 1 species
ACUCCUACGGGAGGCAGCAGUGGGGAAUUUUGCGCAAUGGGGGAAACCCUGACGCAGCAACGCCGCGUGAGUGAUGAAGGCCUUCGGGUCGUAAAGCUCUGUCAGAGGGAAAGAAAUGUAUUAUGGCUAAUAUCCAUGAUACUUGACGGUACCCUCAAAGGAAGCACCGGCUAACUCCGUGCCAGCAGCCGCGGUAAUACGGAGGGUGCGAGCGUUGUUCGGAAUUAUUGGGCGUAAAGCGCGUGUAGGCGGUCUUUUAAGUCUGAUGUGAAAGCCCCGGGCUCAACCUGGGAAGUGCAUUGGAAACUGGAAGACUUGAGUACGGGAGAGGGCAGUGGAAUUCCUAGUGUAGGAGUGAAAUCCGUAGAUAUUAGGAGGAACACCGGUGGCGAAGGCGGCUGCCUGGACCGAUACUGACGCUGAGACGCGAAAGCGUGGGGAGCAAACAGGAUUAGAUACCCUGGUAGUCCACGCCGUAAACGAUGAGAACUAGGUGUUGCGGGUA